rnacentral:rRNA from 1 species
GACGAACGCUGGCGGCGUGCUUAACACAUGCAAGUCGAACGAAGUGGCGAACGGGUGAGUAACGCGUAAUCAACCUGCCCUUCAGAGGGGCACAACAGUUGGAAACGACUGCUAAUACCGCAUACUGAAGGAGGGGAAUGCGUAUGAUGAGCUUGUUGGAGGGGUAACGGCCCACGAAGGAGAUGAACAGUAGGCGGUCGGAGUGGAUGAACGGCCACAUUGGGACUGAGACACGGCCCAGACUCCUACGGGAGGAAGCAGUGGGGAAUCUUCCGGAAUGGACGAAAGUCUGACGGAGCAACGCCGCGGGAGUGAUGACGGCCUUCGGGUUGUAAAGCUCUGUUAAUCGGGACGCGGUACCGGAAUAGAAAGCCACGGCUAACUACGUGCCAGCCGCCGCGGUAAUAC